rnacentral:rRNA from 1 species
AGCGAACGCUGGCGGCAGGCCUAACACAUGCAAGUCGAACGAAGUCUUCGGACUUAGUGGCGGACGGGUGAGUAACACGUGGGAACGUGCCUUUAGGUUCGGAAUAACUCAGGGAAACUUGUGCUAAUAACGAAUGUGCCCUUCGGGGGAAAGAUUUAUCGCCUUUAGAGCGGCCCGCGUCUGAUUAGCUAGUUGGUGAGGUAAAGGCUCACCAAGGCUACGAUCAGUAGCUGGUCUGAGAGGAUGACCAGCCACAUUGGGACUGAGACACGGCCCAAACUCCUACGGGAGGCAGCAGUGGGGAAUCUUGCGCAAUGGGCGAAAGCCUGACGCAGCCAUGCCGCGUGGAUGAUGAAGGUCUUAGGAUUGUAAAAUCCUUUCACCGGUGAAGAUAAUGACUGUAGCCGGAGAAGAAGCCCCGGCUAACUUCGUGCCAGCAGCCGCGGUAAGAC